rnacentral:misc_RNA from 1 species
GCCGUCACAUGCUUCCUGUCUUCUUCUGAUCUCUUACUUGGAUAAAUGCAUUUAGUCAUAUGUGAUUUGGCCACACCAACUUUUGAGAGGCUAUACUACACUUGGAUCCCAACACCAGAUAAUAGUGCAAGUAUCUGUAAAUACUCUAACUCUGCCAUACCUUCAGAAAUAAGCGUAUAAAGCGACCUUAAACCUAAGAUGGCAAAGAGAUUAGAAGUAAAAACAAUGAAAGGAUCCCGCG